rnacentral:rRNA from 1 species
AUACGGAGGGUGCAAGCGUUAAUCGGAAUUACUGGGCGUAAAGAGUACGUAGGCGGUUUAUUAAGUCAGAUGUGAAAGCCCCGGGCUCAACCUGGGAACUGCAUUUGAAACUGGUAAACUAGAGUAUGGUAGAGGGGGGUAGAAUUUCUGGUGUAGCGGUGAAAUGCGUAGAUAUCAGAAGGAAUACCAGUGGCGAAGGCGGCCCCCUGGCCCAAUACUGACGCUGAAGUACGAAAGCGUGGGUAGCGAACGGGAUUAGAUACCCCAGUAGUCC